rnacentral:misc_RNA from 1 species
CAGAAAAUUGGACCUAGCACUGAAA